GAUUAUAUUUAUUAAUUCAGUAAUUACAGUUAAAUGUUAAACAACAUGAUGAAAACUACAUGGUUGCUUCAGUGGAUGUUGAUCUUUUUCAUAUCAAGAUUAAACCGAUAUCAUUGGAUGUGGUUUCCUUUGCGUACUAAAGAAUCGACUCUUUCUAUCAAUGGAUGUCACAGUUUUGUUUGCUUCAAAAUCUAGGCUUUUUUCAAAGCCACAAUUCUGUUAAAAACAUUACUGAGCAAAAAAAAAAUUUUUUUGUUAAAGAAGUGUGUUUUAAAAUAGUUUUAGUUUUUGCGGUUUGUUGGAAUUUAUAUAUAAUUAGAUAUAUGGGGCUAUGGAAGGGAAAAGGAAGGGGAGCAGUGGUGGACAUCCCCCCACCCACCCCACCCAUUUGUUUAGUUGGAUAUUUUUUUAGUAGGUUUUUAGUUAAACUAUAUGAUGUAAUUGACACGGCUUUUAAAGU
rnacentral:lncRNA from 1 species